GUGAGUAGUUCAGAGUUUGAUCCUGGCUCAGGAUGAACGCUGGCGGCGUGCCUAACACAUGCAAGUCGAACGAAGCACCUAAGACUGAUUUCUUCGGAAUGAAGUUUUUUGUGACUGAGUGGCGGACGGGUGAGUAACGCGUGGGUAACCUGCCUUAUACAGGGGGAUAACAGUUAGAAAUGACUGCUAAUACCGCAUAAGCGCACAGUACCGCAUGGUACAGUGUGAAAAACUCCGGUGGUAUAAGAUGGACCCGCGUCUGAUUAGCUAGUUGGCGAGGUAACGGCUCACCAAGGCGACGAUCAGUAGCCGGCCUGAGAGGGUGAACGGCCACAUUGGAACUGAGACACGGUCCAA
rnacentral:rRNA from 1 species